CUGCGCUUCAUUAAUCGCUUUUAACGGCGAAAGCAAACGGAUUCGUGAAUCUGUUUGGAAACAGGAAUUUCAACCGCUUUUGAAAUGGAUUAAAUCAGAUAAAGGAAGAAAGUUUUUGUCUUCAUUUACGGAGGAAUCGAUUGAUGAC